AUCUAGCUGACGAGUCCCAAAUAGGACGAAACGCGCAUCCUGGAU
rfam:Schistosoma rodhaini strain Burundi genome assembly, scaffold: SROB_scaffold0013454